rfam:Picea glauca, whole genome shotgun sequence.
GUACAUGCUUAUAGCAUAGAAUUAACACAUCGCAUCCAAUUAGAGCUAUGCAAUUAAGCAUGCUCGGGCUAGAGUAGUAUUGGGAUGGGUGACCACAUGGGAAGUCCUAGUAUUUUGCAUU